CCCUAUGAGGUCAGUGCUUGGAGGGCAUUUGAUGGAUGAGGCUCAGAGAGAGUAAGCGAGUUGCCCAAGGUCACACAGCUAGGGCAGGAUGCAGCAAAAACUGGGGCUCAAGGUCUGGGGGACCUGAAGACCCGCAUGUCUUGCGGCCUUUCCUGCUCCAGGCUGGCCGCCCUUGACCCCAGCGCGUCAGCUCUCAGUUUAACUUUCAGCACCUUCUCCCAUUAGGUGUCUGUCUCUGAGGUCCCACCCCGACCAAAUCAAAUCAUUUUGUAUUACUUGGUUUCCUUUUCCCUGCCCCCGUUGGUCCCUUUCCAGAACCCUGGCUCACGUAUUUCCCUGCAUUUCCCCUAUAUGCGUACAGAGUUCUUUCCCACCCCGACAUCCCCCACGGUGGCUUCUCAGGACACACAGCAAGAAAGAAGUCCCACGGGUUUCGAACGGAGUAGGGGUCUCCACUGCCAUCCCCUGCCGCAGAUCAGCAAGCGGGGGCCCAGAGAGGCAGGGUGACGUGCUGAGGCCACACAGCUGGUGGCCUGCCUGGGAAUCUAGGUGUGCUUCUAAACGCCAGUGUGUCCCUGAGCACAAGGUGCUUACGGGGCGUCUGGUGGUCCAUCCUGCUGUCCAGAUUCCCGUGGGCAAAGAGCCACGUGUGACCUCACCGAGGGGUGGAGCCGUGGCCCCUGUCUUUAUCAGCGUUUGGCAAAACGAAUUCCAAUCUCUUGCCAUGUGUCUGCGGAGGGGGACGAAGGGAACAACUGCCCAGGGGGGCUGGGCGCCUGAGAAAGGUCUGCCCCACCUUCCCGUCAUCCCCAGCUGUUCUCCAGGAGCCAGACCUGUGCUUCUCCAGGCCGUGGCUCACGCCCGCGUUGACACUUAAGGCCUACAAAGCCCUCGGAGGGCAGGCUCCGCCAGGGGCCCGGGGGCCAGGAAAAUGCAGGCCCUGCUCCACUGUCGCCCGGCAACGCCACACACAAACAUUCGCUGCCGGGAAGAGGCGAGCGGCAUUAAAGCCGCCUGACGGGGAGGUGAUGGGGCAGCAGGGAGAGGCGGAGGUAGACAGUGUGUAAUUGCCAAGCCGGAAGGCUGGCCUGUGGCCAGCGCAUCGAGUUUAACCGUCUGUGUCACUGCCCUCCACGUUCAAGGAGAAUGCUGCCUGCGGCCAUGAUUCCGGGCUGAGGGCCCUGUCGCGGUCUGGCCUGGGCCGACCCUGGGAGGGCACACGUGGGGUCAGCUCUUGGUGCGGGUUCCCACCCCUCCAUCACAUCACAUCACAGCCCGGGCAGCUGCGCCCGGACCCGGGUGUGGAAGGGGAGGCCAGCCCCGGCUCCGGGGCGCCCCUCCACGGGCGCCCCUGCACGUCUGAACAGGGCCUCGGGUCCCCUCCUCCCUCUGCCCUGCCCCUGCGGCCGUGGGCUCGCUGCUUUGGAAACGGCUUCCAAGGAGGGAACGGGCUCGCGGAGGAUCUUUUGCUCGACCACAGCCCCCUGUCCCUGAUGGGCUGCUCCAGCAGACCAGGCAGAGCUCAGCCGAAGCCGGGAGCCAACACGGAGACCCUGAGGCUUUCAGAUGUGGACGAGAAAAUUGGGGCUCGGGGACGCUCUAAGUAAAUCUCCUGGCGUCAGGGGAAUAGUCUCUGUCUUGCUGACAUCACCAGGAUUUGGCCCCUUCGGUGAAGUUCAUCGAUCGAACAAAUCGUACAUCACCGGCGGAGCUCAAGAGUCCCAGGUGAACAGCCACGUCCAACGUGGUAAGAGACAUGAUGCUAUUAAGCAUAGGUGACUGUGCAUUCUCCCAACUGGAGAAGGUGACCGUGUUGGGGAAGGUUCUGGAGAAGUGACACUGCCCUGCUGGUCAGUUGGUCAAGACACAGACAUGGGCCCCCAGAGGACAUACGCAAACUUCUUAGGUCUUCUCCAGGCUGGCUCUCACGGUUGUUCCCCUGUAAGCUUGGCCACGCACCCAUAUUUUUUCUUAUCUUCCAUACAGACGCAAGAUCAGUAACAUCCAUUUUAGAGACAAGGAAACCAAAGUGCAAAGGGAUCCAGACUCGGCCCUUUUGUCGCCGUUCUGAACUUUGAAGAGCCUUCUUCACUCUAGAGCUCCUUGUGGGACCCAUCAAGGCCACUCAGCUUUUCCCCUGCUCGAUCUUCUCCCCUCACUCUGACUCAAGAGUUGACCUGGAGACCACAGCCUAGUAAACCUCCUCCAUGCCAGUUUCCAUCUCAAAAAAGUCUGCAUCCUAGAGAACCUCGUCUGACUUUGGUAGCCUGUGAAUAACAAAACAUCCAAAUUAACAGUGACCUAAAUAUGUCAGAAAUCAAUUUCUCACGUAAGGGUCUCGAGUCCCAGGCUGGUAAGGUAACUGGGAUGGGGAUUGUAAGAUCUAGGUGUAAGUAACUCAGGGUUCAAGAUGGCUGCUCGAGCCGCCCAUCGGGUCCCUUUUCCAGCGUGCACGGAGGAGAGAGCAAAGAGGGAGGCACUGGUUUCUCCAGAUCGCACUCCGGAAGUUGCUUUGGCUCGGAUCCCAUAAAUCAGACUUGCUCGCAUGGCCACACAUGGCUGCAAGCCGAGGCUGGGACAUACAGCCUUUACUGGGGGAGCGGGGCACAUAUCUGGUGAAAAACUGGGGGUUUUAUGUCUCAGGGAGAAGGGGAGGAUGGAUAUUUGCAACAAGUACCAGGUUCUGGAUGUGUGCCCCCCUGCAAAGCUACCUGGGGCUGUUUGGAGCACCAGGGAGGGCAGAGGCUGUGUGUGGACUUCCUGGCACUUGGGGAGCACUCCUGCCGGUCUUUGGAGAUCACCCCCUCAACUCUACACCUUGGUUUCGAUCCCCGAGGACCAGGACCGUCUGCUCUUGCUCCACGGGCCCUUCGGCCUUGCUUGGGGCCUCCCUGAAGGGCCAAAUCACCUCACCCCCUCCCUCCCAGAAGCUCCCAGGGGAAGAAUGACUUCUCCUCUCACCUGCCCCCUCCCUGUCGCUUUGAUCUUGUGGCUCCUUAAGUGAGCGUCUUUCAGUCCCUCCUAGGGCAAAGAGGCAUCCCUUGUUUACCCACAAAUAAUUAACUGCCAUAGUCAUUUAACAUAUACACAGACGGCAUCACCGUAAUUACAGAAAAUACAUUACACAUCGGGUACACGGAAUGGGGGCAGUUCACCAGCCAGUGAGGCCUGGAAUCAGAGGUGAAUGGAUGUAUCAGCUGGCCCUGGGUUUUAUCCCCAUCCCCGGCUGGGCCCCUUUGUGCACUGCCAAGCCUCUGUCCACGCCUUGUAGGCCAUGAAGCUGUGAUGAGUGGCCCUCUCUGGGCUCGUGUGUAUACAGCCGAGCCUACCCCCGCGUUCCUCGUUUCGCUGAGGCAGUAGAAACAGUGGGUUUGGGGAGGGCUGUGCCAUUGACCAGAGGAGAGGAAGCCACGGAACAGGGUGGAGAGGAAGGGGCUGGGGAGGGGAAGGGGAGGGAGGAGAAAGACAAGGACUAACCGAAGGAGGCGUGCGCAAAGGCAGAGGGAGGGGUCCAGAACGCCUUCCUUAGGGUGCUUACCCGCAAGGGAAAACAAUGGGGAACGUCUAUAGCUGGGCGUAAAAAGGGUGCACUGAGCCCAGCGGUUCUGAUUCAGUGGGUCCGGGUGGGGUCUACCUCACUUCCGGAUGCUGCUGCCGCCGCCGGUCCGAGGACCACACUUUGAGUAGGAAGGGUUCACAGUAAUUUUCAAAUCCAUUCUCUUCUUUGAUCCUCACCGUGACCCUGUUUUAUAGCCGAGGGAAUUGAGGCUCACGGGUGCCAAGUGCCUUGUGGGAGGUCCCGGGCCAGCCAGCCCGUGGCUUUCUGUUUAGUAUGGGGAGCCGUGUCUCCGGGUGAGCUGGACAACCCUUGUGAAUGUCGGGGGCUGGGGAGGACAGGUCCAGCUCAGGGGGUCAGAGAAUGCCUGGCAUGUGUCCUGCAUGGGAGCCCAGAGGUCUUGUUCUGGAACACGAAGAAGCCAAGGCGCACGCAGGAAAGAAAUGGCUGGGGGUGCUUAACGCAGGAUAGGAUUAAACAGAGGAGCAGACUAUGAUCUGUUAGCCUGGGCCAAGCUGGACUUGGUUACCCAGCCGUUUGCCAGGCAUUGCUCAACCCGAGUAUUGGUUGUUUCUUGCAAAAUAUUCACACUUCAUAAGAUCAGAUCCUUGAGAGAGAGACAGAGCACAAGCAGGAAAGGGGCAGAGAGAGAGAGAGAGAGAUACACGAAUAGGAAGCAGGCUCCAGGCUCUGAGCCGUCAGCACAGAGCCCGACGCGGGGCUCGAACCCACGAACCGCGAGGUCAUGACCUGAGCUGAGGUCGGACGCUUAACCGACCGAGCCAGUCAGGCGCCCCUGUAAAUGUCUCGAGGAAGGGCAUCCUCUGGGUAGGGGGUGGGGGGUGUGCGCCGAGAGAGGCGGUAAACGAGGUAAUGCAUGCAAAAAGCUUAGCAUUGUGCUGUGGGCUCACUGUGCAACAGUCAUUGUGAGUUAUCUUAAUAAAUCAGACAGGCAUCUUGAAGUCUGAUGGAAGGGCUUAGUGGCAAGGACCUCCCUGCCAUGGGUCAGCAACACCUCCGAGAACCACCAGUGAGGAGCCUUACGGAUGUUGUCAGUUCUUACAGAACUGAGAAUUCACCAGGGAGAUGCCAAAUUACAAACAGACCCCUAAGGAAUGAGCGAAUUCAGGGGUCCGCGAGGGGCCCAUAUUGGCUAGAGGUGGGGUGGACCCUCUGGGAAGGCGGUGCGGAGGGAGGAGGAGAAAAACGACAUGGGCUCUCCGAGAAGGUAGAUGCCAGAAGAGGACGAAACGUGCAAGGAUUUUACUGGGGGACGUUUCUGUGAGAGAAACAGGGAGGAGCUGGGCAAGGCUGAGAGAGCCCCCGAAAGGCUGUGAUGCCCUCUGACCUGAGAGAGGGCAGGGAGGUGGGCAGGAGCAGCCUAGACUUUCCCGAAGUCUCCGGAAGGUUCAACAAAGCCGGCAGACUGUCCUCAAACGAGCCAGCCACCAGGGGAGUCCUGUUUCCCGAAGGCACAUGACCCCCGUAGCACCAAGCCUUGCUCGGUCAGUGGCCGGGGUGGCCAGUGGGAAGCGCUGUCUUGGCCCGAGGGCUGGUUAGAUCUCAGAGCUCGGCAGCUGGGACCCUGUGCGGUUUUGGUCCCUGGAGUUGGAGGGCUGUGAGGCCGAGCUUCCAGAACUGUCGCUUUCCAAUAAGCUGCCUACCGGAAGGGAAAGCCCUUGAACUCUGUUGGCACAGGGGCCCCAAGCCAACCGCAGUGCCUCCCGUGUGGUUGCCCCUCUAUAAACAUUUGUUAACUGAUUGCGAGACCAGAAGCCAAAUCCUGCCGUCCUGAAGUGCCCGCUUGCCUUUUACUAAAUGUGCCCUCAAAACGA